rnacentral:rRNA from 1 species
UGCCAGCCGCCGCGGUAAUACGAAGGGUGCUAGCGUUGUUCGGAAUUACUGGGCGUAAAGAGCAUGUAGGCGGAUGAAUUAGUCAGAGGUGAAAGCCCCGAGCUCAACUUGGGAACUGCCUUUGAUACUGUUUAUCUAGAGUCCGAGAGAGGGUAGUGGAAUUCCCAGUGUAGCGGUGAAAUGCGUAGAUAUUGGGAAGAACACCAGUAGCGAAGGCGGCUACCUGGCUCGUAACUGACGCUAAUGCGCGAAAGCGUGGGGAGCAAACAGGAUUAGAUA